GUCAACGUGGGGACGUUACGGAGUCGGUGCUUUGGCGCAUUCAGUGCCCCUCGCCCGUGUUAUCAAGCGGGGAAAAUGGCCGCGCCCAGGUCGCACUUCCCUGUGGGGUGCGCCAUGUUGGGGGAGUGAUCAUUCCGUACGGAGGGAGGGGAAGCCUCUAAACUCACAAGGCAGAGCAGUGGAGCCGUCUCACAGGUGGCGCAGAGCAUGGGGAAUCCUCCUGAUCGAGGUAGAAGGCCCUGUGCCCCGCUGAAGGCCUUUCUGAAUCGUCAGGUGAGGAAGAUGUUUUGAGAGGAACUGACACAGUCUCAGGCGCCCCAUAGUGUCUCCAGAAGAGCUCCAGAGCAUAACUCCAGAGACUCCUGUCUCCAAGAAGUCUACUCAAAGAAGGGCUGGCCACCUCUUCCCAGGGCAGCCCCACUGUUCUACUUAGAGAGAUGGAAGGCAAGUUUCUUCCACCAUACGGCAUGGACACCCUUCCAAGAUGGCAGUCCCCACGGAGCAGCGCCACUUGCGAACAGUCAUAUUCUGAGCCCAACAGAACUGGGGAUGGUAAGGAAACUUUCACAGACUGCUCGGUAACUGCGCCCUGUUGACUGCAGACCGUAGCUUCGCAGGUGCUUUUGAGCAUGCGCACCAGACACCCGCCCAACCCAUUCCUCCCUUGGACGCCGUGCUAUUAAAAGUCAGAACUCAGAAGAGAAGGGGUUUUCAGGGGCAUGCGGGUUAGUACUUGAGCCGGGCUGAGGUGAGUUUUCAGUAGUUACCUCUCCUGGUCUACUGUGCUGAGUUAUGCAGAUCAUCAGUGUUGGUGAUGGGGCUUGUGUGGAUUCAGUGUUGGGGUCUUUUACAUUGGAUGCCCAGCUAAUUGUUAUUCAGCUUUAACUUUUUCUAAUGUAAGCCUUAAGGCCUUACAUUUCCAUAUAAGGCCCAAAAGAUACAUUAUAUGGUAUUAUUGUUCAU